UUCCCAUACCGAACACAGUAGUUAAGCUCUCCAGCGCCCAUGGUAGUUGGGGCUCACGCCCCUGCAAGAGUAGGACGUUGCCAAGC
rnacentral:rRNA from 1 species